rnacentral:rRNA from 1 species
UACGUAGGUGGCAAGCGUUGUCCGGAAUUAUUGGGCGUAAAGCGCGCGCAGGCGGUCCCUUAAGUCUGAUAUGAAAGCCCACGGCUCAACCGUGGAGGGUCAUUGGAAACUGGGGGACUUGAGUGCAGAAGAGGAAAGUGGAAUUCCAUGUGUAGCGGUGAAAUGCGUAGAGAUGUGGAGGAACACCAGUGGCGAAGGCGACUUUCUGGUCUGUAACUGACGCUGAGGCGCGAAAGCGUGGGGAGCAAACAGG